rnacentral:rRNA from 1 species
GCAUAUCAAUAAGCGGAGGAAAAAGAAAACCAACAGGGAUUGCCCCAGUAACGGCGAGUGAAGCGGCAAGAGCUCAAAUUUGAAAGCUGGCUCCUUCGGGGUCCGCAUUGUAAUUUGUAGAGGAUGCUUCGGGAGCGGUCCCCAUCUAAGUGCCCUGGAACGGGACGUCAUAGAGGGUGAGAAUCCCGUAUGGGAUGGGGUGUCCGCGCCCGUGUGAAGCUCCUUCGACGAGUCGAGUUGUUUGGGAAUGCAGCUCUAAAUGGGUGGUAAAUUUCAUCUAAAGCUAAAUAUUGGCCGGAGACCGAUAGCGCACAAGUAGAGUGAUCGAAAGAUGAAAAGCACUUUGAAAAGAGAGUUAAAAAGCACGUGAAAUUGUUGAAAGGGAAGCGCUUGCGACCAGACUCGCUCGCGGGGUUCAGCCGGCAUUCGUGCCGGUGUACUUCCCCGCGGGCGGGCCAGCGUCGGUUUGGGCGGUCGGUCAAAGGCCCUCGGAAGGUAACGCCCCUAGGGGCGUCUUAUAGCCGAGGGUGCAAUGCGACCUGCCUAGACCGAGGAACGCGCUUCGGCUCGGACGCUGGCAUAAUGGUCGUAAACGACCCGUCUUGAAACACGGACCAAGGAGUCUAACAUCUACGCGAGUGUUCGGGUGUCAAACCCGUGCGCGAAGUGAAAGCGAACGGAGGUGGGAACCCUCACGGGUGCACCAUCGACCGAUCCUGAAGUCUUCGGAUGGAUUUGAGUAAGAGCGUAGCUGUUGGGACCCGAAAGAUGGUGAACUAUGCCUGAAUAGGGCGAAGCCAGAGGAAACUCUGGUGGAGGCUCGUAGCGGUUCUGACGUGCAAAUCGAUCGUCGAAUUUGGGGUAUAGGGGCGAAAGACUAAUCGAACCAUCUGGUAGCUGGGUUCCUGCCGAAG